AGCAGUCGCCGCGGUAAGACAGAGGGUGCAAACGUUGUUCGGAAUUACUGGGCGUAAAGCGAGUGUAGGCGGUCUCAAAAGUCAGGUGUGAGAGCCCUGGGCUCAACCCAGGAAGUGCACUUGAAACUGCGAGGCUAGAGUACUGGAGAGGUUGGUGGAAUUCUCGGUGUAGAGGUGAAAUUCGUAGAUAUCGAGAGGAACACCGGUGGCGAAGGCGGCCAACUGGACAGAUACUGACGCUGAGACUCGAAAGCGUGGGGAGCAAACAGGAUUAGAUACCCCGGUAGUCCCUGUCUCUUAUAC
rnacentral:rRNA from 1 species